UAGUCUCGCACAGAUGCAUAUCAAUAAGCGGAGGAAAAGAAACUAACAAGGAUUCCCUUAGUAACGGCGAGUGAAGCGGGAAGAGCUCAAAUUUGAAAUCUUCAAGGUUUUACCUUGACGAAUUGUAGUUUAAAGAAGUGUUUUCUGUUGAAGUUUUGGUAAAAGUUCUUUGGAAUAGGACAUCAUAGAGGGUGAGAAUCCCGUAUUUGACCAUUAUUUUCAGCUGUGUGAUACACUUUCAAAGAGUCGGAUUGUUUGGGAAUGCAGUCCAAAAUGGGUGGUAAAUUUCAUCUAAAGCUAAAUAUUGGCGAGAGACCGAUAGCGAACAAGUACCGUGAGGGAAAGAUGAAAAGAACUUUGAAGAGAGUUAAACAGUACGUGAAAUUGUCAAAAGGGAAGCGUUUGACACCAGUGUUGUUUUCUCGAAAAUCAAUUAAAAAGAGUUAGAUUUUGUUGUGUAUUGACCUUAACAGCUUGCAUUUCAAUUUUCUUGCUUUUUUUAAUGCACUUUUCGUUUAACAAGUCAACAUCAGUUUCUUUUGUUGUAAAAAGGUCAUUGGAAGGUGGCUUUCUUUUCGGAGAAAGUGUUUAUAGCCUUUGACUCCUGCAAUCGGAGAGACUGAGGUCUGCAGCGUAGAUCCUUCGGGGUUAGAUACAUUUGUGCUAAGUUAUAGCUUUUUAUAGACAACUUGUUGACUAUGAUUAGUCUUGUAGCUUACUCGCUUAUGCUAUUUUACCUACGCUUAGGAUGUUGAAGAUGUAGCACAUCAU
rnacentral:rRNA from 1 species